UACGUAGGUGGCGAGCGUUGUCCGGAAUCAUUGGGCGUAAAGGGAGCGCAGGCGGGAGGGCAAGUCUUUCCUAAAAGUGCGGGGCUCAACCCCGUGAUGGGAAGGAAACUGUUCUUCUUGAGUGCAGGAGAGGAAAGCGGAAUUCCCGGUGUAGCGGUGAAAUGCGUAGAGAUCGGGAGGAACACCAGUGGCGAAGGCGGCUUUCUGGACUGCAACUGACGCUGAGGCUCGAAAGCCAGGGGAGC
rnacentral:rRNA from 1 species